UGAGGAAUAUUGGUCAAUGGCCGAGAGGCUGAACCAGCCAAGUCGCGUGAAGGAAGAAGGAUCUAUGGUUUGUAAACUUCUUUUAUAGGGGAAUAAAGUGGAGGACGUGUCCUUUUUUGUAUGUACCCUAUGAAUAAGCAUCGGCUAACUCCGUGCCAGCAGCCGCGGUAAUACGGAGGAUGCGAGCGUUAUCCGGAUUUAUUGGGUUUAAAGGGUGCGUAGGUGGUGAUUUAAGUCAGCGGUGAAAGUUUGUGGCUCAACCAUAAAAUUGCCGUUGAAACUGGGUUACUUGAGUGUGUUUGAGGUAGGCGGAAUGCGUGGUGUAGCGGUGAAAUGCAUAGAUAUCACGCAGAACUCCGAUUGCGAAGGCAGCUUACUAAACCAUAACUGACACUGAAGCACGAAAGCGUGGGGAUCAAACAGGAUUAGAUACCCUGGUAGUCCACGCAGUAAACGAUGAUUACUAGGAGUUUGCGAUACAAUGUAAGCUCUACAGCGAAAGCGUUAAGUAAUCCACCUGGGGAGUACGCCGGCAACGGUGAAACUCAAAGGAAUUGACGGGGGCCCGCACAAGCGGAGGAACAUGUGGUUUAAUUCGAUGAUACGCGAGGAACCUUACCCGGGUUUGAACGUAGUCUGACCGGAGUGGAAACACUUUUUCUAGCAAUAGCAGAUUACGAGGUGCUGCAUGGUUGUCGUCAGCUCGUGCCGUGAGGUGUCGGCUUAAGUGCCAUAACGAGCGCAACCCUUAUCACUAGUUACUAACAGGUGAAGCUGAGGACUCUGGUGAGACUGCCAGCGUAAGCUGUGAGGAAGGUGGGGAUGACGUCAAAUCAGCACGGCCCUUACAUCCGGGGCGACACACGUGCUACAAUGGCAUGGACAAAGGGCAGCUACCUGGCGACAGGAUGCUAAUCUCCAAACCAUGUCUCAGUUCGGAUCGGAGUCUGCAACUCGACUCCGUGAAGCUGGAUUCGCUAGUAAUCGCGCAUCAGCCAUGGCGCGGUGAAUACGUUCCC
rnacentral:rRNA from 1 species